CAAGAAUAGAAAGAGACUUAAUGAUUGUGGUACUUGACUGCUAUUUCCUCUCCAGAAUUAUCUCAACUGUGCAUAGGUUUACUGCUACACUGCCUCUUAGAUAUACUAGGACCUAAGCAAAAUAAAAGGUCUUAUGAUCUAUCAACUUCUUUGAGGAACUCCAACUACUUCUUCUGUCCAUGAAUCAUCUAGCACCUACCCUUUAAAAACAUCAACAAAUGGUGACCUCUGGAUGCUACUCACAGUGUAGUCACUAAGACAAGAUUGUGAGAAUAACUGACAUUCUUGUUAUCUUGAUAACACUUUGUUAUCGUUCAAGAAAUCAUCUUGGAUUGAUUGGAAAUGGAAGGUACCGUGCAGAUUUUAAAUUGAAUUUAACAUUCUCCUGAAAGGAAUAUUUAAAACAAGUGUGAAUGUGACACUGUUUUUAAAGACGUUUUGACUUGACUCAAAUCAAUGCUUUUUCAGUAAAUAUAGUUGUGUCUCAUCAGCAGCAAACACUGUGAAAUCCAUUUGUUAGUGGGAGAGACUCACAUAAAUUAAUUACUGACAGAGUACAAGGUUCUGCUCAUUGCAGUAAUAACACAGCUCUGUUGUGUGGAGAGUUAGGUGAUAAAUCAUCUACUUAAUGGCAUGCGAAGGAUCAGAUGCUGCACCUGAUGCAAUUCUAUCAUAUCAUUUGCUGCAGAUUAUGAGAAGAACGCAUUCUGCAGUCACAGAAUGAGAUUUGUUUUUUAAUCUAGACUUUAGCUGGGAUUUUAGUGAAUAUUCUGUGGGCUGCACAUUGAUACAUACAUACACAAUAGAAUUCUCCCGUGACGACCGGAAACAUAAUGAGCAUUCAUCUUUUUUUGCACUAGUGAGAUGCCUUCUGCCUUCUUCCCACUCAUGUGGCUGCAGGCCCUCUGGAACAGAGCUCCAGACCAGAUGCAGCCUAUGGGCCACAGAUUCCCACCCUGACCAAAAAGGGAAGCUUUCUCCUGGAAGGAUGAUGGCAGAGGAGAAAAUGCAGCAGCCCUGGGCAACGAGCAAGGUCUGCAGUCUGGCAGUGCAGCUCAGCAGAUCUCUGAGAUGUGAAGUCAUCUAAGUGGAGCCACCCUACGCGUGUCAAACGAACUGACAGAUUGCAAGUGUGCUUCCUCACAUUUUGGUUUCACUGAGUCAGCAAGCCUUGCAUGGGGUGGUUCCUCUGUUCACUGAGAUUUUACCAGUCUUCCAAUUAAAUUCCCUUUCCACCAAUAUGAACUUGACAUUCUUUGGAAGAGGUCACAUGCCGGUUCGCACACCUGCAGGGAUUACAGUAGAGCUGCUCAUUAUUCCAGCCCUCUUGUCUGGGUAGACAUACUUACACCAAGGAUGUACCUCCUGUGGUUAUUUUCUCUCUGAGGUGAGGGAGGUAAAAUUGUUUGCCUAGUAUAUACCAAUCAUUUCCCUCAUGGUAAUGGGCAAAUACCUGCUUGCUGCUGGCUUUCCUUCAUGGAACUUGCAAUGCUGCUCAAUUUUUCCAUUUAUUUACUCAGCCUGUAGGGCACUGUAUUCCGGUUUCAUUCUUUAGGUUUCUUUGAAGCCAAUGAAGCAGGACUGGCUCUUGAAAGUGCAGAAGUUGGGAUUCAAUCCAUAUUUAUAUGCCAUUGCUGUAAAUGUGGAGACUGUAUUAAAGGGCUGAUCAGGCACGAAAAAAGACUUUAACUAAUUUAAGUCAGCAGGAAACCUUUUGUUUUUUACUUUAUAGAUUUUUCUGCAGUUGCUCAUCCUGAAAAUUUGGCAAUAGGUUUCUGAUAAUUCAAAGUCAAAUCUUGUACCAUAGUCAUGAGUAGAAGGAAAUAAAUGAUUUGAAUAUUAUCAGUUAUGCUUGAAAAAUGAGUGGUUCUUCCACUACUUCCAAACCAAAAGAAUACUUCCCAUUAAUCAAGUUGGAAGACUGUGUCUCAUGCUUCAUUCUAGUUUAUGUAUUCGGUCCUCUUUUCCUUGAUCCUACCUGUAGAGCCAUGUGUUUUCUAUAUUUCCUCUGUUCCAUUUACACUGCAAAUGAUUAUAAUUUCUGUUACACAAAAAAACCUGAGCUGCCACAACCACUACCUAGGUUACCAGAGC
ensembl:lncRNA